rnacentral:rRNA from 1 species
GACGGAGGGGGCAAGCGUUGUCCGGACUCACUGGGCGUAAAGCGUGCGUAGGUGGUGCGAUGCGUCGGCGGUGAAAGCGCCCGGCUUAACCGGGCGUCGGGCGACGAUACGAUCGGACUGGAGGCAGGUAGACGUUGGUGGAAUUCCGGGUGUAGUGGUGAAAUGCGUAGAUAUCCGGAGGAAUGCCGGUGGCGUAAGCGGCCAACGAGUCCUGACCUGACACUGAGGCACGAAAGCGUGGGGAGCAAACCGG